ACACACACACACACACACAAUCAACCUGCCAUCAUUAUCAAUACAAACCCUGUUCUGUUCUCUCAUUAAAAACCCUAAUACACACACACACACCACACACACACACACACAACACACACA